rnacentral:rRNA from 1 species
UUUUUUGGAGAGUUUGAUCCUGGCUCAGAGUUAACGCUGGCGGCGUGCCUAACACAUGCAAGUCGAACGGAGCGUACCAGAAUAUCGGGCGCUUAGUGGCAGACGGGUGAGUAAUACUUAAGCAAUUUGCCCUCAAAUGGGAGAUAACCCGGCGAAAGUCGGACUAAUACCCCAUAUAAUCCUCCGGAGGCAUCAUCGGGGGAUGAAAGGCCCGCAAGGGUCGUUUGAGGAGAAGCUUGAGACCUAUCAGCUAGUUGGCGGUGUAACGGACCACCAAGGCAAUGACGGGUAGCCGAUCUAAAAGGAUGACCGGCCACAAGGGCACUGAGACACGGGCCCUACUCCUACGGGAGGCAGCAGUGGGGAAUUGGUCGCAAUGGGCGAAAGCCUGACGACGCAACGCCGCGGGGAGGGUGAAGAAUUUCGAUUCGUAAA